rnacentral:rRNA from 1 species
UACGUAGGGUGCAAGCGUUUGUCCGGAAUUAUUGGGCGUAAAGGGCUCGUAGGCGGUCCGUCACGUCGGCUGUGAAAACCCGGGGCUCAACCCCGGGCCUGCAGUCGAUACGGGCGGACUAGAGUUCGGCAGGGGAGACUGGAAUUCCUGGUGUAGCGGUGAAAUGCGCAGAUAUCAGGAGGAACACCGGUGGCGAAGGCGGGUCUCUGGGCCGAUACUGACGCUGAGGAGCGAAAGCUAGGGGAGCAAACGGG